rnacentral:rRNA from 1 species
CUACGGGGGGCUGCAGUGAGGAAUAUUGCACAAUGGGGGGAACCCUGAUGCAGCAACGCCGCGUGGAGGAUGACGCAUUUCGGUGUGUAAACUCCUUUUAUAUGCCAAGAAAAUGACGGUAGCAUAUGAAUAAGCACCGGCUAACUCCGUGCCAGCAGCGCGCGGUAAUACGGAGGGUGCAAGCGUUACUCGGAAUCACUGGGCGUAAAGGACGCGUAGGCGGGUUGGAAAGUCAGGUGUGAAGUCCUACAGCUUAACUGUAGAACUGCACUUGAAACUUCUAAUCUAGAGUAUGGGAGGGGGAGAUGGAAUUAGUGGUGUAGGGGUAAAAUCCGUAGAUAUCACUAGGAAUACCUAAAGCGAAGGCGAUCUCCUGGAACAUUACUGACGCUAAGGCGUGAAAGCGUGGGGAGCAAACAGGAUUAGAUACCCUUGUAGUC